rnacentral:rRNA from 1 species
CAUGCAAGUCGAGCCGGGGAAUGUAGCUUGCUACAUUACCUAGCGGCGGACGGGUGAGUAAUGCUUAGGAAUCUGCCUAUUAGUGGGGGACAACUUUCCGAAAGGAAUGCUAAUACCGCAUACGUCCUACGGGAGAAAGCAGGGGACCUUCGGGCCUUGCGCUAAUAGAUGAGCCUAAGUCGGAUUAGCUAGUUGGUGGGGUAAAGGCCUACCAAGGCGACGAUCUGUAGCGGGUCUGAGAGGAUGAUCCGCCACACUGGGACUGAGACACGGCCCAGACUGCUACGGGAGGCAGCAGUGGGGAAUAUUGGACAAUGGGGGGAACCCUGAUCCAGCCAUGCCGCGUGUGUGAAGAAGGCCUUUUGGUUGUAAAGCACUUUAAGCGAGGAGGAGGCUACUAGUAUUAAUACUACUGGAUAGUGGACGUUACUCGCAGAAUAAGCACCGGGUAACUCUGUGCCAGCAGCCGCGGUAAUACAGAGGGUGCGAGCGUUAAUCGGUUUUACUGGGCGUAAAGCGUGCGUAGGCGGCUGAUUUAGUCGGAUGUGAAAUCCCUGAGCUUAACUUAGGAAUUGCAUUCGAUACUGGUCAGCUAGAGUAUGGGAGAGGAUGGUAGAAUUCCAGGUGUAGCGGUGAAAUGCGUAGAGAUCUGGAGGAAUACCGAUGGCGAAGGCAGCCAUCUGGCCUAAAACUGACGCUGAGGUACGAAAGCAUGGGGAGCAAACAGGAUUAGAUUCCCUGGUAGUCCAUGCCGUAAACGAUGUCUACUAGCCGUUGGGGCCUUUGAGGAUUUAGUGGCGCAGCUAACGCGAUAAGUAGACCCCCUGGGGAGUACGGUCGCAAGACUAAAACUCCAAUGAAUUGACGGGGGCCCGCACAAGCGGUGGAGCAUGUGGUUUAAUUCGAUGCAACGCGAAGAACCUUACCUGGUCUUGACAUAGUAAGAACUUUCCAGAGAUGGAUUGGUGCCUUCGGGAACUUACAUACAGGUGCUGCAUGGCUGUCGUCAGCUCGUGUCGUGAGAUGUUGGGUUAAGUCCCGCAACGAGCGCAACCCUUUUCCUUAUUUGCCAGCGGGUUAAGCCGGGAACUUUAAGGAUACUGCCAGUGACAAACUGGA